rnacentral:rRNA from 1 species
CUUGAGAGUCCUGAAGGAACGUUGAAGACGACGACGUUGAUAGGCCGGGUGUGUAAGCGCAGCGAUGCGUUGAGCUAACCGGUACURAUGAACCGUGAGGCUUAACCUUACAACGCCGAAGGUGUUU